GACGAACGCUGGCGGCGUGCUUAACACAUGCAAGUCGAACGAAGUGGCGAACGGGUGAGUAACGCGUAGGUAACUGCUUGGUAGCGGGGGACAACUAUUGGAAACGUUAGCUAAUACCGCACACUAACAGAUGUACCUGUGUUGUAUUAGCUAGGUGGUGGGGUAACGGCUCACCAAGGCGACGAUACAUAGCCUACCUGAGGGGGUGAUCGGCCAAACUGGGACUGAGACACGGCCCAGACUCCUACGGGAGGCAGCAGUAGGGAAUCUUCGGCAAUGGACGGAAAUCUGACCGAGCAACGCCGCGUGAGUGAAGAAGGUUUUCGGAUCGUAAAGCUCUGUUGUAAGAGAAGCGGUAUCUUACCAGAAAGGGACGGCUAACUACGUGCCAGCAGCCGCGGUAAUUC
rnacentral:rRNA from 1 species